ACUUGUCUCUGCAUAGGCACGUGAUUACCAUGGUGAUUGAGAAUGACUGAUUCUUCCCUUUUUCUUGUUGCCUCUUAAGGCAAGAACUGUAGAAGAGAGUAGAAUAGUGCUUGCUAUGGCCUUUUAUUACUGAUUCAUUAGGUUCUAUGCCCUUCAAACAUAUGUGAAAAUACCUGAUGAAAUGUGGAAGACUACAUGUGAACAGUCCUCUCUUCUCUCACCUCUUACGGCCUGUUGGCCAUCUGAGUGGAAGAUGGAGGGAAAUGUACUUAAUGUCUGUAUAUAUGUUCUUACUACUGUAUUGCUUUAGUUCUCUGGGUGAUCACAGUGGAAGAUCCCCAAUGUACCAUGGAGUUAAGAUGUACAGCAGUGCCCUCUUUCCCUUUAUUGCCUCGGUACAAUACUUCUUAAAAGUAUUUUGAAUGUUUGAAAGUUGGGUUUGGGUUUCUGGUGGUGGUUGGUUGGUUGGUUGGUUUUUGCUAAGCUGGAAAAGUAGUUUGGAGGCAGAGUGUAUACUUUUCAGGUGUACAAACGUGUUGUCGCUGUGCUUUUCCUUCCUUGUUUUCCCUGUCCUUUCUAUGGCUUUAUGAGUAAAGCUAGAAAUCUCUCCAAGAGGUUUCUUCCUUAUGUUGGCCAUGCAGUAUCAUUGACAGUAGCAUUGACAGUGACCUGGAGCUGCUCCUGGGGGCUGAGGAGCUGGCAUCUGCUUUUCCUAUGUGUGUCCCUAGGUGCUCUUGCUUCUUAAUCACUUAAGCCAUUUCAUUGGGUGCCUGUCCUGAUGAACUGUGGAGCUCCGAAUUUAGUGUCCUCCCAUUCCUGUUCCAUCUCUGUGAGUAGGCUUUUCUUUUUAGGUUUUUUUUUUCUCUUAGCUUUACUGGGGACUAAGGGCGAGAAAUAUAUUCUUUAUAAAUAUAAAUAAUUUUGUUACUAUACUGUAUUAUUUCAUUUGGUACUGAAUCCUUUACAUGGGCAUUUAAGUACCUAAUGAAACGUGGAGGUCCGGAUGUAUGAAAACUUCCUCUUUUCCCUUUUCCUCAUUGCCUCUGUGGGCAAUAGCUGUAGAAUAGCAUAGAUUUUCUAAUUCUCUUCCACCCAGUAGGUGGAAGUAUGUAUAUACUUUAAAAUGUAAAUAUAAAUUUUUUAAACUUUUUGUUGUUACUUCAUUUGUACCUAAAUCUAUUUGUGGACACUUAGGUACAUAAAGAAUAUUGAGGUUCAUUCUAUGAAAAAUCUCCCCUUUCCCUUCCCUCAUUGCCUGUCUGGGCAAUGGCUUGUAGAGUAGUUGUGUAGCUUUGGCAUGGGGGUGUAGGGUGAGAAGAGUUCUGGGUUUUUACCUUUUUGGAUGUAUUUAAAAGUCUGUCAGUUAUUUCAGUUUUUCACUCUCAAUCUGUGUUUGUGUUAUCAAACAAACCAAGAGUCUAUAUCUAUGCCCAGAAGUGUGGAACAUCUGCCCCUUCUCUGUCACCUGUGCCAUAUUGCAGUAGUGUAUACGUACUAUAAGGCUUGAGUUCUUGUUUUGUCUGUUGCUUAUAGCAUAGCUUGUUAGAGAAAAAGGUAACCAUAUAAUAUAUAUGUAUAUAUGAUUGUAAAUGCCUUGUGGUGUUAACUUCAUUUUGAACGUGGUCCUUGGUGCGACUAUUUUUACUCUGUACUUAAUGAACACUGAGAUUGAUUCUAUGAAAACUCUCCACAGUCCCUAUCCCUCACUGCCUGGUGGGCAGUGGUAGACUAGAUGUUUUAUUUGCUUAUCUUUUGUUUGCUUUGUGGGGGUCUGGGUGUUUAUAUAUUUUUAAUGUAUAUAUAAUAUUGCUAUAUUCUGUAUAUUAUUCCACAUAACACCAGUUCUUUGCUGGAAUUUGUAGAUACAUAAUGCAACAUUGAGGUCCAGAGGUAUGAUAACUCUCCCCUGCUCCCUUUUCCUCAUUGCCUACAGAGGCAAUACUUUUAUAACUUGGUUUUUUUUUUUUAGGGGGUGGGAAUGGGAUUGCUUAGGUGGGUAGUGGUUAGGGGAAAGGGUGAGUGCAUGAUUUUAAAAUAUAUUUUUUCAUGGUACUGAUUAGGCCCCUAGUCCUUUACAUGGAUAGGUGAGUACCUAAUCAAAGUUGAGGAUCAGUGUAUGACGUAUCUCCCAUUCUACCCUUCCCUGGAUGCCAGUAUUGGCAAGAGUGAGUAAAGCAGCUGUGUCUUAUUUACUUGUUUUGGAUUUAUAUUUUUGAUAGUAGACUAUUCUUAAUAUAAAGUUGUCAUGUUUUUAUUUCAUUUUGUGUUCAGCCCUUUGCCUAACUGUAAAGAACAUCAUGAAAAUUAGUUUCAUAAGAUGACAGCACAUUGUUUCUUGCAUAUUUCCUCAUUUAGUAGUAGGUAGUACAGCUGAUUUGUGGUUUUCCUGGUUAUUCUGAGAUAUAUAUAUAUAUAUGUAUAUGUACACGUAUAUGUAUAUGUAUAUAUGCAUAUACACUAUAUAUGAUACAAAUAUUAUACUAUUAUACAUACAUAUUUAAUUUUCUCCCUUGCUCUCAUUGUUUCCCUUUAAUACUUAUUUCCUUGAAGGUUUUUACAUGUACCUAGAGAAAGAAAACAAAAAAACAAAAAAACCAAAGGCUCAUUACAUGUUGAGUGUCUGACUGAAAGUGUAGCCCUGGGACUCCAUGUGUAACAGUAGCAAUGGGAUUGCAGCAAAUAAGAUGGGAGAAGACACUCAGGUAUGGCUGCAUUGAGGAAACUAAUCAUAUCCAGCAUUUCUGGUGUUGAAUUAAACUGACAUGGUGAAAGUCAAGCUUUGGUUUUGUAAAUGCCAGAGAAAAAACAGAGAACAUUGCACAGUAAACCUGAGUUUAAAUGGCCUCAGUGUUUGAGGCAAGCUUUGAAGCUAGGGUGUCAAUAUCUGUGUUUUCUGUAACUAAUCUGAAGAGCCCUCGAGAGUACUGUGUCUGUGAGGCCUGAAGUUCAGAUUUCUCUCCAGAGUUCUUUUGAUUGUUCUUAUGUACCCAGGAGAAGUCAUUGUGAUUCUUAGAAUGGAUCAUUUGAGUGAUUACUGCUCCUCUGGUGGCUGACAAACAACAUGGUCCCAAAAGAAUUUCAGGGGUAAGACCUUUCGGUCUUAGAACAUCCACAUGUGGCAGGGCACAUUGGCCCUUUCUUACCCAGAACUCUUUUGUGUGGCUGCAUCUCUUUCUCCAGUUCUCUCUUAACUGGAGCAUGCCUAUUCUUUGUCCUUUUGUCUUUAGUAUCUUUGUUGUUGUUAGAUGCCAUCUGAAGUUACACUCACAAGUUUAAGCAAAUGCUGCCUUCUUGUCAGCCUUGUGAUUCUGUGUGCAUUUCAUGCAAGGGAACCUGUAUGUUUGCUCUCUGCAUUCUUACAUUUCAUAUUGUCUCUUCUUCCACCACAUGGUAAAUGUUAUGACUACACAUUUGUCUUCAUCAACGAAAAUGCAUGUGAAAACCUCUCUGUCCUUCUUGCAUCUUAGCUUUGUUUUGUUCUCACAUUUUUACUGAUAUUCCACAAGAAAGAUUUGCCAUAUCCAUUUAGGAAACAUUGAGCGAUAGAUAGUUCUCCUAGAAAUUCUCAAAGACAUGUUAUUUACCAUAUCAAACUCUCAGGAAUGUAUUGGAAAAUUAUCCUAGUAACAUUGCUGUUACUUAUACCUGCUGCUGGAGGAAAAAAGUUUAUUCAUGACACAUUUACCUUUGAUCAUAAAUAAAAGAGAAAGGGCCACCUUUUUGGAGUUAGUCAUGGUAGUCAUUAGUGAUAUUUUUGAACCGUUUUUAAUUUGAAAUACUUCAAAGGAAGUAAAGGUCAUGGCUUAGCUCAAAAAAAUGCUCCAGAAGUUGGGCUGCUUAAAUCAUCAGUACAAUAAUAUACUGUGUGUGCGUGCAUGCGUGUGUGUGUGUGUGUGUGCAUGCGUGUGUGUGUGUGUGUGUGUGUGUGUGUGUGUGUGUGUAUGAAAUGAGAAUUGCCACAUAAUUGGAGCAUUUGCAUUCAUCCGCAAAUCAUGUUGAGACAAACUGUAGCUGGCCGUCUUGAUUAAAGCCAAGUGGUCCCUGUGGCUGUGAGGAAGAGUUUUUCUUGCAAAAACUUUGGCAAGUGAUGACUUCGAAACUUACAAAGCUAUUGCCUUUUUUUUUUUUUAACACCAGUAGUGACCUUCAGUUCCUUCAGUCUGAGUUUAAGGGUAGAAUUCUAAAUUUGUAUUCUAAUCUGUCUUUUGUGGAAAAUUUUGAAAAUAGUAUGUAUAUGUAAUAUUGUAUAUGCAAAUUGUGUUGUUUUACUUGUUUUGCAUAUGACCAGCACUGACUGAAAGGCAUGUUUAACUAUAAACACUGUUGCUUUCUUUGUGAAAUGAAAAUAAAAGUAUUUAAAU
rnacentral:lncRNA from 1 species